rnacentral:tRNA from 1 species
UGGCUGAGCGGUAAAGCGCUUGGCUUCCGAACUGGGGGUGUCCCAGGUUCGAAUCCUGG